rnacentral:rRNA from 1 species
GACGAACGCUGGCGGCGUGGAUUAGGCAUGCAAGUCGAACGGUAUCAUCCUUUCGGGGGUGAGAGAGUGGCGAACUGGUGAGUAACACGUAGGUUAUCUACCCUCAAGACAGGGACAACCCAGGGAAACUUGGGCUAAUACCGGAUGUGAGCAACUUUUAGUUGUUUGAAAGGUGGCGUAAGCUGUCGCUUGGGGAUGAGCCUGCGUCCUAUUAGUUAGUUGGUGAGGUAACGGCUCACCUAGGCAAUGAUAGGUAGGCGGCCUUAACGGGUGGUCGCCCACACUGGGAUUGAGAUACGGCCCAGACUCCUACGGGAGGCAGCAGUCGAGAAUAGUCUACAAUGGUCGGAAGACUGAUAGUGCGACGCCGCGUGAACGAUGAAUCCCUUCGGGGUGUAAAGUUCUUUUAUAUGUGAGCAGUGCUUCUUAUAUUAACAGUAUGGGGAGAGAGAUAUUAGCAUAUGAAUAAGCAACGGCUAACUCCGUGCCAGCAGCCGCGGUAAACUCG